rnacentral:rRNA from 1 species
AUACAAGUGGUAGAGAAGCGAAAGCGGAUCGACCUUCGGGAGCUUGUACAGGUGCUGCAUGGCUGUCGUCAGCUCGUGUCGUGAGAUGUUCGGUUAAGUCCGCUAACGAGCGCAACCCUCGCUGUGUGUUACAAGUGUCACACGGAACUGCCGGUCAUAAACCGGAGGAAGGUGGGGAUGACGUCAAGUCAGCAUGGCCUUUAUAUCCAGGGCUACACACACGCUACAAUGGUCUGUACAAUGGGUAGCCAAGCCGCGAGGCGGAGCCAAUCCUGAAAAGCAGGCCUCAGUUCAGAUUGCAGUCUGCAACUCGACUGCAUGAAGCCGGAGUUGCUAGUAACCGCAGGUCAGCAAUACUGCGGUGAAUACGUUCCCGGGUCUU